GCUGCCCUUUUGCAGGCUGAAUCGCUUCUGGGUGGGGCCACAGGAGCAGGGUUGAUGAUGCAGUUGUAAAUUUUGAGCUACUUGUUUAACUUCCCUCAGUUUCGUUUAUUCAUCUCUGAAAUGGCAAAAGUAUAUCUAGCUCACAGGCAUGUGGAGGACUCUUCUCACCCUGCUACAGGCACAGCAUUGUUGCAGCAUAACUGUGUACUACAUUAAUGUCACAAAAGUGACCACCGAUAGACUGUUCUUUACUCUGUGUCUCUUUCCAAGAACAAAGAAACUUUUCCCUAAAGACCCUAAGCAAACUUCUUUUAAUAGCUUUUUGCCAUAAUUAUGUCAUAUAAAUCAAUCAAUGGCAAGGAGAAUGUAAUUAUCAUGACUAUCAUAAUCAGUAUUUACUCCCAAGGAACACUAAAUGAGACAAUAUAGGCAGCUUCCUUAGCACCGUCCCUUAGCACAAAAUGUCAGCAUUCAGUAAAUGUGAAGGAUUUUCUCCAUUAGUCAAGAAAUAGGCAUAUUCUGUGGAAUUAUGAAGGCAACCACCAAAAGAAAUAACACUGGGCCAGAUAAAAUACAGUUUCUCCUGUAAACUGUGUCUGUGUUAAAAGAGAAAGGGGAAGAUCAUAUUUUCUUUUUAAUAUGUUUUUAAUUAUAUGGUUGAAAUUGGUUUGCUAUGUGUACUUUUUAAUUUUUAUCAUGCUUACCCCUUUAUAUUAGUGCAUUUCAGUCAGUAUUCAUGUAAAUAUCAGAACCCAUUUAUUGAACUUGAAUUAUUGUAUUGCUGAGCCCUCUAUGUUUGCCAUAGUCAAAGAUCCUGCCAUCAUUUUUGUAAUCACAUUUAUUAAGCACCUAUGAUGGACCAAGCAUAAGGAGAGACUCAUAACUUCUCAAGGGGCCUCUCAUUAUACUGUAGUGCCCAGAAAGCGUAGUUCUCUAAUAAACAUUUACUAAUAUUAAUGGAGAAAAAUGGGAAUUUUUAGUUUUAUUACAGCGUUACAACCCUACUUUUUAAAAGAUUGAUGUUUAUGAAACAAUCUGCUAGAAUAAAUAACAUGGAGGGCUCAACUUUUCCUAUACAUUUGUCAGUUUGGUCUUCUUUUUUAUGGCAAGAUAAAUUAUGUGAUUUGCUAAGACAAUGAAAGAAUUAAUUUCCACAAUUAUCUUCUCAAUAAUAGAAAUACUCUUAAAAAUUUAUUAAACAUAUCUUUUAUCUUU